rnacentral:lncRNA from 1 species
CAGGGGAGGGGCCGAAUUUUGGGUCAAAGUUUUGGGAAACCCCCAAAAUCCCCAAAAAUCCCCAAAAUUCCCCAAAAUCUCACCUGGAACUCGAGGCUGGAGGAGCCAAAAAGGUCCCGGGGCGGCUCCAGGGGGGUCUGGGGAGGAAUUCCCAACAUUUUUACAGCGAAAUUCCCAAAAUUUGGACUUUUUCCCCAAAAUUUUAGGGGUUUCUUCCAAAAUUUUCUGAUUUCCCAAAAUUUUGGAUUGUUUGGGGUUUUUUUCCCCCCAAAAUUUUGGGUUUUUUUGUUAAAGUUUUGGGGUUUUUUUUUCCACAAAAUUUUGGGUGUUUUUUCCCAAAAUUUGGGUUUUUCCACAAAAUUUUGGGGUUUAUUUCCCCAAGAUUUUGGAGUUUUUUUUUUUUUUAGUUCCAAAUUUUGGGUUUUUCCCCCAAAUUCUGGGAGUUUUGGGGCUUUUUUGGGGUCUCACCCUGGGGGUGUUCGGGCUCUGCUCUUCCUCCUCCUCCUCCUCCUCCUCUUCCUCCAUCAGACUCAGCCUGGGGGGAAAACCCAAAAAUCCCCAAAAUUCCCCCAAAAAUUCCACCCCUGCCCCCAAAAUCCCCCAAAUUUACCCCAAAUCUCUCCCAGGAACCCCCAAAAAUCUCAAAUUUCCUCCCCAAGUCCCAAAAAUCCCAAAUCCCACCCAAAAAAUCCCAAAUCCCACCAAAACCCCCCAAAUUUCCCUGCCAGGAACCUCCAAAAAUCCCCAAAUCUCCCCAAAAUUUCCCAAACUCCUCCUCAAAAGUCCCAAAAUUCCCCAAAUCCCUCCCAGUUCCCCCCAAAAAUCCCAAAAUUUCCUAAAAUCCACAAAUUCCCAAACAUUUCCCAAAUUCCUUCCCCAAAUCCCCAGAUCUCCCCAAACUUCCCAAUUCCCCCCAAAAUCUCCCAAAUUUUCCACCAAAAUCCCCCAAAAUCCCAAAAUUCCUCCCCUAAAUCACCCCGAAUUCCCCAAAAAUUCCCCCCAAAAUCCCAAUAUUCCCCCCAAAACUCCCCAAAAUCUCUGAAAUUUCCCCCAAAAUUCCCAAAUUCCCUCACCGGGACCCCCAACUCCUUUUGGAUUCGCUGCUGCAGGUGGAAAAACAAAACAAAAUUUGGGUUUUUUUGGGAUUUCCCCCAAAAAAUUGGGGUUUUUUUUUGGGAUUUUUGCCCAAAAUGUUGGGGUUUCUUUUUGUGA